rnacentral:rRNA from 1 species
UCCUACGGGAGGCAGCAGUGAGGAAUAUUGGACAAUGGGCGGGAGCCUGAUCCAGCCAUGCCGCGUGCAGGAAGACUGCCCUAUGGGUUGUAAACUGCUUUUUUACGGGAAGAAACACCCCCACGUGUGGGGGCUUGACGGUACCGUGCGAAUAAGGACCGGCUAACUCCGUGCCAGCAGCCGCGGUAAU